AUUGAACGCUGGCGGCAGGCUUAACACAUGCAAGUCGAGCGGUAGCACAGGGGAGCUUGCUCCCUGGGUGACGAGCGGCGGACGGGUGAGUAAUGUCUGGGAAACUGCCUGAUGGGGGGGGAUAACUACUGGAAACGGUAGCUAAUACCGCAUAACGUCGCAAGACCAAAGAGGGGGACCUUCGGGCCUCUUGCCAUCAGAUGUGCCCAGAUGGGAUUAGCUAGUAGGUGGGGUAAUGGCUCACCUAGGCGACGAUCCCUAGCUGGUCUGAGAGGAUGACCAGCCACACUGGAACUGAGACACGGUCCAGACUCCUACGGGAGGCAGCAGUGGGGAAUAUUGCACAAUGGGCGCAAGCCUGAUGCAGCCAUGCCGCGUGUGUGAAGAAGGCCUUCGGGUUGUAAAGCACUUUCAGCGAGGAGGAAGGUGGUGAACUUAAUACGUUCAUCAAUUGACGUUACUCGCAGAAGAAGCACCGGCUAACUCCGUG
rnacentral:rRNA from 1 species